UUAAAUAUGCGACGAAGGUGACAUAAAAAUUGCAUUGUUCCAUAAUCUAUUAUACACAGUUCUGACGUCUCAAGAAUUAAAAUCAAUAUGUAUAUGUAUAGACUUUCUCGUGCUGUAAGUGUGACACUAAUAGCCUAAUUCAGCAAACGAGCUAUAUUUCGUGCCAACGAACAGGAGGACCACAUUCAGAGCAUGAUUGAAGGCGUACAAAGAACUAUUCACAGAAAAUGUUUUGGCAUCCGUUUCCGUGCCUUCCUUGACAUACAGUUUCGGGGUGUAGAAGUGGACCAAGACUGACUUAGAGGCGUUAGAACGAGCAGGACGAGUGGCGUUUGCCAAGCAUCGUAUGCGUCACCCAUUGAGAGAAUCACCUUGUCACGUGCAGUAAGCGGAAGAGGCGUCCCCGAUACACAAGCACAGUGUAUUUUCCAAACUCAAUUGCUACGAAUAUACUUCGUGGAGAGCCAGCACCGUCACGAAAUCUAUCGUUCUAUGUGUGAAGCUGACCAAGGAUUCAAAGCCCUGCACCGAAUGGAAUCGAGCCCCAGUCCACAUAUGCAUAUACUUUUCUAUGCAUUUGUUAUUGAGUAUCAAAGUACCAGUCUGAAGUUGAAUUUUGACAACACUGUUAAGAACAACACCGACAGAGUACAAACAUCGAGAAGGAGAUUGACCGGCCAAAAACCAACAAAGCCUCUGGUGUUGACCAACCGUCCCCAAGAGGGCGAUGGAAAGGCACUGGGAUACAGACGAUGCCCCUAAGCGAAGACGGAAAAACGAAGGAGCUACAACACAUUUUGGAAACAGCAAAGAUCAACGGAUAUAAUGAGAGGACGAUACAAGCAAUCAUCAACAAGAAGAAAAGGAACCUAAGGAGAAACGAACUGGCAACACCAACACCGAUCGACGAACCGCUAAAGAGAGUAUUGGUCCCUUAUGACCAAUACAUCGCCAAUCAGCUACGCCAUCGACUGAGGAAAUACGGCAUUGAUUUAGUAUUCUCCAGCAGAAGUAACCAACUUAAGACACAAAGACACAACUCCACAUAAGACAAAGUUGAAAUGUUAAAUAAGGCGGGGUUUAUGAAAUUAAUUGUUCACAGUGUGAUAAAGUAUAUGAAGGUCAAACAAAAAGAUCUUUAGAUAUAAGGUUCAAAGAACAUAUUGCAGAAGUAAAUAAAGCUAAGAAGGAAACUUAUAAAGGAUUAAAUUAAGAAUUUAUAUCUAAGGUAGCUGAACAUGUGUAUCAGGUCAGGAAAGUCAUUCAAUUACGACAUCAUACAUUAAAAUUUUAAGAAAUGUCUCUUUUCCGUGAAAACUUGAUGUUGCCGGGACCUUGGGAAUCUACCGAUAGACACAAACACGGUUGUUGAAUAAAGAUCAAGGAAAUGAAAGCUCUUGGCUUUUCUGGUUUAUACGUUAAGCACACAAGCGUAUGUGUGUCAUAUGGUUCCGUGGUAUAGCAAGCGCUUUCCAUUCCAGAGGUCAGCAGUUCGAAUCUAGGUGAAUCCAGUAUGGAACAUUUUGCUAUUAGCGGGCUUGGUAGUCAUAUGGCUACUGCUUCUGCCUCAUACGCAGGAGGUCGUGGGUUCAA